rnacentral:rRNA from 1 species
AGCGAACGCUGGCGGCAUGCCUAACACAUGCAAGUCGAACGAACCUUUCGGGGUUAGUGGCGGACGGGUGAGUAACACGUGGGAACGUGCCUUUAGGUUCGGAAUAACUCAGGGAAACUUGUGCUAAUACCGAAUGUGCCCUUCGGGGGAAAGAUUAAUCGCCUUUAGAGCGGCCCGCGUCUGAUUAGCUAGUUGGUUGAGGUAAUGGCACACCAAGGCGACGAUCAGUAGCUGGUCUGUGAGGAGGAUCAGCCACAUUGGGACUGCGACACGGCCCAAACUCCUACGCAAGGCAGCAGUGGGGAAUAUUGCGCAAUGGGCGAAAGCCUGACGCAGCCAUGCCGCGUGAGUGAUGAAGGUCUUAGGAUUGUAAAAUUCUUUCACCGGGGACGAUAAUGACGGUACCCGGAGAAGAAGCCCCGGCUAACUUCGUG